AAAGAGAGAAAAAUGUAGUAGUUGAAUUUAGAGGAUGUUUUUAAAUAUUUUUUUUUUGGCUAAAUUAUAAAAAAAAAAAAUUCUGUAAAUACUUGCUUUUUUACCUUUCAUUCAUGACUUUCAAAAAUCUAUAUUUCAACUUCUUAAAAUUUUAGAAAUAUUUUCAGAUUGAUACAGUAUUAAUGGAGAGGACAAAAUGACCAAAUUAUCUUUACUUUUUCUGUAAGCAAAAAAAAAUAUAUAUUUUUAUCAUUUUGAAAGACGCUUUCGAUAUAAAUUAUAAAAAAUUAAUAGAAUAAUUAAUAAUAGAACCAUAACGGAAAGGAGCUGAAUGCAAUAAUUUAAAUGUUAAUGAGGUAAAAUAUAAGAAAGUUAAAAAAAAAUAUUUAUAAAGAUUUUUUCUGUAAUUUAGCCGUUUUUUUUGACAAAUUCUUAUC
rnacentral:lncRNA from 1 species